rnacentral:lncRNA from 1 species
GGAUCCGGCAACUUUGGGCAGCGCAUGCGCGCCCGCGGCGCUCCAUCCCAAACACACACACAUUUUUCCCCCGGACUUGGAAAGUCACCCAAAGCCGCCCCAAGUGCAGCAAACAGACCUUGCUGACUGAAGGCAAAGACUCCUCCAUCCCACCUGCCCUCCCAGCUGCCACGGCCAUCGACCCCUCCUUUACAAGGGGCUCCUGCAACUCCCCAGCAGCACGUGUUGGAAUGGACUUCGGACCCUGGCCUCUUGGGAUGCAAAGGU